rnacentral:rRNA from 1 species
UGGGGAAUAUUGCACAAUGGAGGAAACUCUGAUGCAGCGACGCCGCGUGAAGGAAGAAGGUCUUCGGAUCGUAAACUUCUAUCAGCAGGGACGAAAAUGACGGUACCUGACUAAGAAGCCCCGGCUAACUACGUGCCAGCAGCCGCGGUAAUACGUAGGGGGCAAGCGUUAUCCGGAAUUACUGGGUGUAAAGGGUGCGUAGGCGGUAAUGUAAGUCAGGUGUGAAAGCCCGAAGCUCAACUUCGGGACUGCACUUGAAACUACAUAACUAGAGUACAGGAGAGGUGAGUGGAAUUCCUAGUGUAGCGGUGAAAUGCGUAGAUAUUAGGAGGAACACCAGUGGCGAAGGCGACUCACUGGACUGUAACUGACGCUGAGGCACGAAAGCGUGGGGAGCGAA